GCCUUUCUUUUCCCAUGUCUGUAUAGACUAUGCAGCUUGUUGGCUUGGUUUCUGUUACCUUGGUACCUUCAGGUUUCUGUGGAGUACACAAAGCUGGGUGGGUUGAGAAAAGCAGAAGAAAGAAGGAUCAAGAAAAACUAUUAAACAACUUCAGAAUCCUGCUGUUGUCCAUUGAAAGGGACCCAUUUUGACAUAACAAUUUGUAUUUUUAACAACAACAAAAAAAAAAAAAAAAGAAAGAAAAAAGAAGCAUAACUCAAUAUAUUAAAAAUAUCUUAAGUUUAUGCAAAGUGCAAUGUAUGUGAACCUUUAUCUCUGCAAAAGGUUAUUUCUACCUUCUGAAUCCAAUUCUCCCUGUGCAACAAGAGAACUGUUCGGUUCUGCACACAUAUACUGUAUCUAGGAUAUACUGCAACAUAUCUAACAUAUAUAGGACUGAUUGCCAUCUGGGGGAGGGGGUGGAGGGAGGGAGAGGAAAAAUCGGAACAGAAGUGAGUGUAAGGGAUAAUGUAAAAAAUUACCCUGGCAUGGGUUCUGUCAAUUAAAAGUUAUUAAAAAAAAAAAAAAAGAAUGUGGACCCUUUGUUUUAUAGAUGAAGAAACAAGUCUAGAGAUUAAGUGGCCCACCCAAAGGGAUGGAAUGAAUGCUGCAGCAGAGUGCAGGAAUUAUCUUGACAACGAAUGAUCUCCCAAUCCCUCCCCCAUCCAAUCUAAACUGGCCCAGU